UCUUUUCUUUUGAUAAGAGAGUUUUUAAAACCAGUGUUAUUUUUGUAAGUUUAAGAGAAGUUUGUGUAUUGAAUUUUUUAUUUUUAAUAUUAAAGAGCUUUGUUAAACCUAGACUUAAGUUUAGGUCAUUUUGGGGGUUUAGCUCAGUUGGCUAGAGCAUCGGCUUUGCAAGCCGAGGGUCAAGGGUUCGAGUCCCUUAACCUCCAUUGGGCUUAUGUCCUAAAUUGUAAUUAAGUAUGUUUUUAAGCAACUUUGUUGAAGUAAUUGUUGGAAUGUGAAACAGAGGAAGUUAAAAUUUCUGGGUUAAGUUGAGAUCUGUUGAUAUUAAGAAGAAUCUCUAGAAGCAAAAGCAAGCUUUCGAUAAAACCCGAAGUUGUUUCGCUAAAGUGCAAGGAUUAAACAGGAUUGUAUUUUCCAGCAGCCUAUUUUAUAAACGAUCUGCAUUUAGUAAAUAGUUUUUAGUUAAGAAAUAAUGUAGAUUGCUAAGUGUGAUGUC
rnacentral:misc_RNA from 1 species